ACGCCCGGCGCCUCGAAGGCACUUGGCCUGUGCCGUGCGGCCGGGGCUCGCGCCACCCUGGAGCGGCCGUCGCCUCCCCUCCCGGCACCGCCCGCCGCUGGGCGCUGGCGCCGGGCCCUCGGGGUGUCGGGCUCGCAGCCGCGGGGCAGGCGCCGCUUCCGCCCUCACUCGGUGGAGGCGGAGGCCGCAGGGCCGGGCGGCGGGGGCCGCGGCGGGGGCCGGAGAGCAGGGCCCGCAGCUGGGGGGCGCAGCCGGUGCCGCGCACGCGCCCUCGGCGACGCGGCGAGGCUGCCACCAGCCAGACGAGUGCGGCCGCACGACGGCGGGGGCGAGAGGGGGGGUCGUGCGGGGAGGCUCCCGGAAGGGGGCGUGUCUGGAGGUUCCCGCCGUUUAGGGCGACGCGCCGGAUUCGUCGGAACAGCGCGGGAACGGCCUGGAGGUCCCGUGGCGGCCGGCGCCACGUGCGGUGCCGAGCUCAGGACGCGAGAGGCGGUCGGCAGCUGGGAGCGGCCCCGGCCUAGCCUUCCGGCCUGGGCACCUGCGCCCCGCCCGCCCCCUGCCCAGCCCGGCGCGCCCCUUGCACCGUCCCUGUGCCCAGGUCCCACCCCCCAGCCCCGCGCACCCCUUGCGUCAUCCCCGUGCCCAGGUCCCCCCCAGAGCCCGGCGCGCCCCUUACGCUAUCUCCGUGCCCGGGUACCACCCCGGAGCCCAGCGCGCCCCUUGCGCCGUCCCCGUGCCCAGGUCCCCUCCAAGCCCGGCGCGCCCCUUCCGCCAUCUCCAUGCCCAGGUCCCCCCCGGAGCCCAGCGCGCCCCUUGCGCCGUCCCCGUGCCCAGAUCCGCCCCCCCAAGCCCGGCGCGCCCCUUCCGCUGUCCACGCGUCCAGGUGCAGACGGACGCUUCCUGUGCCGCGUGUUCGCUUUAGAUGGAGCCCCUCUCCCUCUGUCCCGUGUCGCCAGCCGUGACCAGGGCAGGGAAGACAGCCCCCGCAGCGGAGAAAGGGACGCCCUCUCCCCUGGGCCGCAGGGGCACCAGCCACCGUGGGGGACCCCGUAA
rnacentral:lncRNA from 12 species